rnacentral:rRNA from 1 species
UGGUGGAGUGAUUUGUCUGGUUAAUUCCGUUAACGAACGAGACCUCAGCCUGCUAAAUAGUGUGCAUAUUCGAAAGAAUGUGUUCGACUUCUUAGAGGGACAUUUCGGUUUUUACCGGUAAGGGAAGUUUGUAGGCAAUAACA